UACAGAGGUCUCAAGCGUUGUUCGGAUUCAUUGGGCGUAAAGGGUGCGUAGGCGGCGAGGUAAGUCGGAUGUGAAAUCCCGGGGCUCAACCCCGGAACUGCAUUCGAUACUGCUUUGCUUGAGUACUGGAGAGGAGACUGGAAUUUACGGUGUAGCAGUGAAAUGCGUAGAUAUCGUAAGGAAGACCAGUGGCGAAGGCGGGUCUCUGGACAGUUCCUGACGCUGAGGCACGAAGGUCAGGGGAGCAAACGGG
rnacentral:rRNA from 1 species